UAGGGAAUAUUGGACAAUGGGGGCAACCCUGAUCCAGCCAUGCCGCGUGAGUGAAGAAGGCCCUCGGGUUGUAAAGCUCUUUUGUCCGGAAAGAAAAGCUUCGGGUUAAUACCCCGGGGUUCUGACGGUACCGGAAGAAUAAGCACCGGCUAACUUCGUGCCAGCAGCCGCGGUAAUACGAAGGGUGCAAGCGUUACUCGGAAUUACUGGGCGUAAAGCGUGCGUAGGUGGUUGUUUAAGUCUGAUGUGAAAGCCCUGGGCUCAACCUGGGAAUGGCAUUGGAAACUGGGCAGCUAGAGUGCGGUAGAGGGUAGUGGAAUUCCCGGCGUAGCAGUGAAAUGCGGAGAGAUCGGGAGGAACAUCUGUGGCGAAGGCGACUGCCUGGACCAGCACUGACACUGAGGCACGAAAGCGUGGGGAGCAAACA
rnacentral:rRNA from 1 species